rnacentral:rRNA from 1 species
AUUACGGGAGGCAGCAGUGGGGAAUAUUGGUCAAUGGACGCAAGUCUGAACCAGCCAAGUCGCGUGAAGGAUGAAGGUAUUAUGUAUUGUAAACUUCUUUUAUCAGGGAAUAAUGACCGCUACGUGUAGCGGGAGGGAAUGUACCUGAUGAAUAAGCAUCGGCUAACUCCGUGCCAGCAGCCGCGGUAAUAAUH